rnacentral:tRNA from 2 species
GGUUCCAUAACUCAGUUGGUUAGAGUGUGGUGCUAAUAUCAGCUGCAAAGUCUGUAACGCCAAAGUCGAGGGUUCGACCCCCUCUGGGACCA